UAUAUAUGGACUAACUAUAUGGUACUUCUUUUCAAAUGCUUUUUCCUAAAUGAAACCAGUAUUUUCUCUUCUUUUCAGAAAGCAGCUUGGCAUCACGAACAAAGUAGCUGUGGAAAGGAAUUCAAAUGGGUCAGAUCUACUGAAAUCAAGAAUUUCCAGGAAUUAAGAUGUUUUACACCUGGUUGGCAAGAUCUCGACAAUGAAAAACCCUAAAAGGAGCUGAAGGAAGAAGGAUGUUUUCUGUUAGAGAAGAGAAACUGAAGGCUGCUUCUACAGGACCAGCACUAGGGGGCACCGGAGCAAAGUAUACUGAGC